AACGAACGCUGGCGGCAGGCUUAACACAUGCAAGUCGAGCGCCCCGCAAGGGGAGCGGCGGACGGGUGAGUAACGCGUGGGAAUCUACCCAUCUCUACGGAAUAACGCAUGGAAACGUGUGCUAAUACCGUAUACGUCCUCCGGGAGAAAGAUUUAUCGGAGAUGGAUGAGCCCGCGUUGGAUUAGCUAGUUGGUGGGGUAAAGGCCUACCAAGGCGACGAUCCAUAGCUGGUCUGAGAGGAUGAUCAGCCACACUGGGACUGAGACACGGCCCAGACUCCUACGGGAGGCAGCAGUGGGGAAUAUUGGACAAUGGGCGCAAGCUUGAUCCAGCCAUGCCGCGUGAGUAACGAAGGCCCUAGGGUUGUAAAGCUCUUUCACCGGUGAAGAUAAUGACGGUAACCGGAGAAGAAGCCCCGGCUAACUUCGUGCCAGCCGCCGCCGUAACAC
rnacentral:rRNA from 1 species